GCCUGGGUGGCUCAGUCGGUUAAGCGUCCGACUUCAGCUCAGGUCAUGAUCUCACACUCUUGUGAGUUCGAGCCCCACCUUGGGCU
rnacentral:tRNA from 1 species